AAAGUCCCGUGGGCUCCUCCCGGCCUGGGCUGAAGAAGAGCUCCCCGGUGCCUCCCUCCUUGUCCUCACCCCACAAAGGGCCCAAGGCCGCAGAGACCGGAACAGCCGCGACCAUGGAAACGACGAGGCUCCCAAGCAGGACACUGAGACCCUCUGGUGGGUGGCUACUCCAAUCAGCCAGAACCCGACUGGAGACUGUCACCCAGAGGACCUUUUCAUCAGCUGCCCAAACACUGUGGAAUGACCUACCAGAAGAGCUAAACAAGGUAUCCGAAUUUAAAAGGCAAUUGAAGACCCAUCUCUUCCAGCAGGCCCACCCAGUCAACUUUUAGUCAUGAGUUCUGAUUUGCAUUCCAUUACCGCUUAUGUCGGAGCCCCCGAUGGCACAAAGGGUGCUUGUGCCAGCAGGACUGCUGACCGAAAGGUUGGCAGUUCGAAUCCGGGGAGCGGGAGAGCUCCCGUCUGUCAGCUCCAGCUUCCCAUCCAGGGACAUGAGAGAAGCCUCCCACAGGAUGGUAAAACAUCCAGGCAUCCCCUGGGUAACGUCCUUGCAGACAGCCAAUUCUCUCACACCAGAAGCGACUUGCAGUUUCUCAAGUCGCUCCUGACACAAAAAAGAAACGCUGUAUGUCAAUUCUGCAGCUAUGUUUGGUAUACAUUUUCAUGUGUGCAUGUGUGUCUAUGAAAUUUAGUAAUUUAUUGUAUUUUAUGUUCAUUUGUUUUUGAAUUUGUUGUACCCUGUUUGAGGUAUUGGGAGAGGCAAGUAAUAAAUAAAAAGUAUUAUCAUCAUCAUAA